UCCAGGUCCGCGCCAGCUUCUAGAAGUUUCUGCAAUAUGUCUGCAUGUCCAUUCAUGGCCGCCAAAUGAAAGGCUGUGUUCUUCUCCUGCAAACCAGUGUGACAUUCCACAUUAAGCUGCACGUCUUCCAGAUCUUCCAUGAUGAACUUCAUCACCCUGAGAUGACCCCUUUGGGCAGCACAGUGUAGGAGAUUGUGGCCAUUCUGAAAAAAAAUAAGGAUGGUGGAUUCAAGGUGUGGAGGAAUAAGCCAUCUGCGCCAUCUUGCUCCUCAGAUACCAGAACCAGGUUAGGGACAGAUCACCCAGGAGAAAAUGUAUCUAUGCGGUCGCCAAGAGCAAGCGACAGAUUAAUGACAUGGAAUCAUUCAUCAUCAGUGUAAUUGAGCUUACACUGUUCU